UGUGCCGGGCGCGGGGCCGGCGCCAUUUUGUGCAGCGGGCAGUGAGGCGCCCGCGCGCCAGCGGGGAGCGGCGCCAUUUCCUGCCCUCCCCCGGCGGGCGCCGCGCGGGCCGGCAGCGCCUGAGGGGACGGGAACGGACAGGGCACGGGCGGCGGCCGCAGCGCCCCCCGGGGAGCGGAUCCGGCUCGGCCGGGGCCGUCCGCUCCUCCUUGGGCCGUGCGCGGGGCCCCGCGGGGCCGCACGGCCGGGCCGGGCACGGUGAGCGCUCUGCCCGUCUCUUCCCGGCCUCCUGUCGCAUUACCUCCGGCUACCAUUCCAGCCCGGGUCUGGGGGAGAAGGACGCUGUGCUUAAAGCUCUGCUUGGGACUGUUUAUCCCUACGUGAUUUGUAGCAUCAACAGCUAUAAAAAGCAGAAAUACACAAACCAGUGACAUGCCAUUUAAGAUUAAGCCACAUACUGAUUGAAAAGUAACUGAUAAUCAGCAACAAAGCUUUUCCAAGUGGCCCAUUCCAGAAUUAUUGUCUAUCCCAGCUGGACUACAUCACAUCUCAGGAAAUAAUUUAUCAGCCACUUGAUGUGUUUGUUAACAUACCUGGAAUUCAUCUACCUUCAGGUAAUCAAAUCAAUUGUUUUAAAAUCCAAGCAAUUAGGACAAAUAUGCUUUUAUUUCCUCAGCCAUCUCCCAAAGUAGUGGCACAUUUCUACCAUUCCUCCCACCUGUGGUAUUGCCAUCCAGUUUGUCCACCAAGGUUUUGUGACCUGACAAUUUCAAGAGAUUUCAAACAACCCUGUUUUGAUGGAGACAUUAUCAGGCUUGGAAUAUAUAUAUAUAUAAAAUUUUCUGUAUUAUGCUUCCUAAGCACACCCAGGGCAUUCACAGAGCAAAAGGAGGCAUUAUUGGUAUAAA